GUCUAUAGCCAUACUACCCUGAAUGCGUCUGAUCUCUAUCUCAGAAGCUAAGCAGGGUCAGAAUUAGUUAAUACUUGGAUGGAAUGCCUUAAACAUAAAAACUGUUUUCC
ensembl:rRNA 5S_rRNA 5S ribosomal RNA